rnacentral:rRNA from 1 species
AUUUAACGCUGGCGGCAGGCUUAACACAUGCAAGUCGAGCGGGUGAAGUUAGCUUGCUACCGGACUUAGCGGCGGACGGGUGAGUAAUGCUUAGGAAUCUGCCUAUUAGUUGGGGACAACAUCUCGAAAGGGAUGCUAAUACCGCAUACGUCCUACGGGAGAAAGCAGGGGAUCUUCGGACCUUGCGCUAAUAGAUGAUCCUAAGUCGGAUUAGCUAGUUGGUGGGGUAAAGGCCUACCAAGGCGACGAUCUGUAGCGGGUCUGAGAGGAUGAUCCGCCACACUGGGACUGAGACACGGCCCAGACUCCUACGGGAGGCAGCAGUGGGGAAUAUUGGACAAUGGGGGGAACCCUGAUCCAGCCAUGCCGCGUGUGUGAAGAAGGCCUUAUGGUUGUAAAGCACUUUAAGCGAGGAGGAGGCUACUUUAGUUAAUACCUAGAGAUAGUGGACGUUACUCGCAGAAUAAGCACCGGCUAACUCUGUGCCAGCAGCCGCCGUAA